rnacentral:lncRNA from 1 species
CUCUUCGAUAGCUUCUAUGUUUCUUCUAUAGGCUAGUGUUGGACUGUCCUCUUGGCGUAUGUGUCUGUUUGUCACAUCCCCUCUGGAAGUCUAUGGAGAGAAGCUGUUCAACUUGGAUGUUAUCCUCACGCGACUCUGGAUUUAGUUACGUACUGUGAGACGUACACGCGGACCCCCAGAGGCCAGACGGUGAAUGUUGACUUUACGACAAGAAUAGUCGAAAACACCAGACUUUACCCGAUUUGAAUGCCUGUGCAAGGAUUUUGUUGGUUUCUGUGCUGCAGGCAGGGUUUCAAUUUGCUCGGACGGGACUAUGGGGAGAAAGAGGAGGAAGAAUCUUUUGAGUUGCGCAACAAGGAGGAUCUGACCUGCAACGGACGUGGUCCACUUGAGGUGACUCUCUCUCAGCCGACUCGCACAGCCAAUGGGACAAACGGACACAGUCUGUCAGAGGUUCCUGAUGAGAUAAAGAGUCUGAUCAUAGAGAAGAGCAAGAUGGGCCUGGAAGAAGACCCCGAGCUGCUGGUCAAAGGUGAGCCUGCCUGCCUGGCUGACACACUUCUACACCAUCCCUCUAUUCUCUCUCUGCUUUCUCUCUGUCUGGCUGUUGUGUUCCAGUUCCAGUGGUUUGCAUGUACAGUAAUAGCAGUCUGUGUGACGGUGACGUUCACUCAUCCGAGAGCAUUAACCGAGCUUUGGGUCCCGUGCAUGUUUGCGGCGUUAUCGCUGAAUAAGUAGACCACACUGUACUACUG